rnacentral:rRNA from 1 species
UUAAACCACAAUAUUAAAAAAUUUAGGUUCCCGAAGCAAGAAGAGCUAACUAGAUAAAUAAAAUUAUCUCAUAGGGAGUUCCCAUGUGUAAUGUAGCAAAAUUACAUUCUAAGUUAUAGUUAGGAGUGAAAGGCUUUACAAUUCUUGUUUAUUUCUGGAUUGAGUUUAAAAAUAUUUAGUAUUAAAGUCAAGUUUGAAAAGCCAAGCUUUCAAACUUACAAGAGUGUGUAGGAUUAAAUUUAACAACUUAUUAAUAUAAAGGUGUUUAUUUUUUCAAACAAUUAAUUUACUUUAUUUAUUUGUUUUCAUAAGCUCUUUAAGCAGCCCAACAAAUUAAGCCAGCUUAAAUAAUGUUUAAAUGAGUACUAUUAACUAAAAAGCUGUAAGGAACUCGGCAAAUAAAAUCCCCUCAACUGUUUAUCAAAAACAUAGCUAGUUGUUCUUAUUAUAGCUGGUUAGCUCUGCCCAGUGAACUAAUUGUUUUUAACGGCCGCAGUACACUGACUGUGCAAAGGUAGCAUAAUCAAUUGGCUUUUAAUUGGAGUCUGGAAUGAAAGAGUUCAUGGGAGGAUACUGUCUUAUUAUUUUUUUUUGGAAAUUACUAAGCAAGUGAAAAUUCUUGCUAUAUCUUCUAAUAGACGAGAAGACCCUAUAAAUUUUUACUAAAGUAUUUUUAUUUAACUCUUCGUUUUUGUUGGGGCAACAAGUUAACAAUUUAGAAAAAUUUAACUAAAUAAAGUUUAAGGAAUUCUUCGAGUUUUACUAAGAAUAAAUAAGUUACUAUAGGGAUAACAGCAUAAUUUUUCUUUUAAGAUUGUGACCUCGAUGUUGGAUUAGGGACUUAUUAAAUAAACCAUUUAGAUAAGAAGUUCUGUUCGAACUGAUACACCU